CCCCGAAGGAACCUCCGCCUAAAUACGUCCCGCCACUCCGGGGUAAUAAAGUAGGGGUCAAACGUUUGUCGGGAAUUAUUGGCGGUAAUGACUGGGUAGAAGCCUUUUCCAGUCGGUUGUGAAAGUCCCGGGGCUUAACCCCCGGGUCUCGCAGUUGGAUACGGGGCCAGGCAAGAUUUCGGUAAGGGGAGAUCGGAAAUUCCUGGUGUACUGGCAAAAAUGAGCAGAUAUCAGGAGGAACACCGGGUGGCGAAAGGCGGAUCUCUGGGCCCGAUUCUGACGCUGAGGAGCGAAAGCGUGGGGAGCGAACCGGGGUUAGAUACCCUGGUAGUCCCCGCCCGUAAUCGGUGGGCACUAGGUGUGGGGCAACCAUUCCACGUUGUCCGUGCCGCAGCUAACGCCAUUAAGUGCCCCGCCUGGGGAGUACGGCCCGCAAGGCUAAAACUCAAAGGAAUUGACGGGGGCCCGCCACAAGCGGCGGAGCAUGUGGCUUAAUUCGACGCAACGCGAAGAACCUUACCAAGGCUUGACAUACACCGGAAACCUUCAGAGAUGGGCGCCCCCUUGUGGUCGGUGUACAGGUGGUGCAUGGCUGUCGUCAGCUCGUGUCGUGAGAUGUUGGGUUAAGUCCCGCAACGAGCGCAACCCUUGUCCCGUGUUGCCAGCAGGCCCUUGUGGUGCUGGGGACUCACGGGAGACCGCCGGGGUCAACUCGGAGGAAGGUGGGGACGACGUCAAGUCAUCAUGCCCCUUAUGUCUUGGGCUGCACACGUGCUACAAUGGCCGGUACAAUGAGCUGCGAUACCGCGAGGUGGAGCGAAUCUCAAAAAGCCGGUCUCAGUUCGGAUUGGGGUCUGCAACUCGACCCCAUGAAGUCGGAGUCGCUAGUAAUCGCAGAUCAGCAUUGCUGCGGUGAAUACGUUCCCGGGCCUUGUACACACCGCCCGUCACGUCACGAAAGUCGGUAACACCCGAAGCCGGUGGCCCAACCCCCUUGUGGGGAGGGAGCUGUCGAAGGUGGGACUGGCGAUUGGGACGAGUGUAAAAGAUA
rnacentral:rRNA from 1 species